rnacentral:misc_RNA from 1 species
GAUGAAGAACGUAGCGAAAUGCGAUACGUAAUGUGAAUUGCAGAAUUCAGUGAAUCAUCGAAUCUUUGAACGCACAUUGCGCCCGCUGGUACUCCGGCGGGCACGCCUGUCCGAGCGUCAUUUCAACCCUCAAGCCCUCCUUCGGGAUGGGCCUGGUGUUGGGGCUCGGCCGCCAUCUCCGGCGGCCGUCCCCUAAAUACAGUGGCGGUCACGUCGCGACUCCUUUGCGUAGUAGAAACACCUCGCUCCGGAUAGCAACGCGGUCCACGCCGUAAAACCCCCAAUUUUCAAUGGUUGACCUCGGAUCAGGUGGGAAUACCCGCUGAACUUAAGCAUAUCAAUAAGCGGAGGA